rnacentral:misc_RNA from 1 species
CAGAGAGCUGAAACGAGUCGACAAAGAUGAAGACCGAGUCGAAUUCGAGUCCAAAAGCGCCGUUAUUGGUCGUUCAUGAGAGAAAACAAAGUGGCAGACUGAGUCGAAGCAAAUCGGUGCGAACACUCAGAGACGAGUUUUUCUCCAGAUUGCCUGAUAAGGUUCGAUCUGAUGUGGAUGUUGAGUCUCCCUUUCACGUUGAUAUCCCUAAAACCAAAGGAUUGACCAAAGAUGAGAAGGAAUACUACGAAAGACAAUUUGCUACAUUAAAAUCGUUUGAGGAAGUUGAUUCUCUGGAUUUAGAUGACACCAUCGAUGAGGAAGACGAUGAAGAACAGCUGCAAGCUGAAAGGGCCAUGAAAAUCUCUAAUUAUGCAAAUAUUUUACUCUUGGCAUUCAAGAUCUAUACUACAGUAAAGAGUGGAUCAUUAGCCAUUGCUGCAUCAACCUUAGAUUCUUUACUUGAUCUCAUGGCUGGUGGCAUACUCUGGUUCACUCACCUUGCUAUGAAAAACAUAAAUAUCUACAAAUAUCCUAUUGGAAAAUUGAGGGUGCAGCCC